rnacentral:rRNA from 1 species
GACGAACGCUGGCGGCGUGCUUAACACAUGCAAGUCGAACGGAAAGGCCCUGCUUUUGUGGGGUGCUCGAGUGGCGAACGGGUGAGUAACACGUGAGUAACCUGCCCUUGACUUUGGGAUAACUUCAGGAAACUGGGGCUAAUACCGGAUAGGAGCUCCUGCUGCAUGGUGGGGGUUGGAAAGUUUCGGCGGUUGGGGAUGGACUCGCGGCUUAUCAGCUUGUUGGUGGGGUAGUGGCUUACCAAGGCUUUGACGGGUAGCCGGCCUGAGAGGGUGACCGGCCACAUUGGGACUGAGAUACGGCCCAGUCUCCUACGGGAGGCAGCAGUGGGGAAUAUUGCACAAUGGGCGGGAGCCUGAUGCAGCAACGCCGCGUGCGGGAUGAAGGCCUUCGGGUUGUAAACCGCUUUCGCCUGUGACGAAGCGUGAGUGACGGUAAUGGGUAAAGAAGCACCGGCUAACUACGUG